GGAAGCCCCCUCGCCUUAAUGCAGCGCCCGCCGACGUCACCGCAGCCUGCGACCAAUCAGCGGCUCGCGGUCCCUCUGUAAACCAUUCUGCAUCCCCCGGCCGGGGAGAGUGCCGGGAGACCGCGUUUAGAGGAUCAGUGGCGGCCGCAUCCGCCGCCCGGCGCGGUGCGGGCGGCGGGCAGCGAGGUGCCCGAGCCCCUCCUGCUCCGCACGAAAGGAAAGAGCAAGGUGUAGCUGAUUAGCAAGUUAAUUAUUUCAGUAUCCCAAGGGUUCUGGUGUGGUGGAAGCAGCCCACGGCACCAGGCUCUGGAGAGCCAACUUCCUGACUUCGGCGAUGUGAAGAUGGUCUAAUAAGUUUUUGGUGCCGGCAAGCAGCUGUCCCCCAAGCAGGGGAAUUUCUCCAGAGUCUGUGGUGCCCGGAGGACAUGGCCGGGGCACCCCACAACUCGCCACAGUCCUUCAUCCAGUGUACAGGACCUCAGGGAGCACUCAGUGAAUCCUGCCAACUGAAUCCAGGAGAAAAGCGGAGACGUCACCCUUCGCAUUAAUACCAGCUCUCAAUCUGGGGCGCGGCUUUGAAAGAAGGUUGCUAAGCCUGCUAAAUCCUAGUGCACACCAACACCCCAUUCAUCUGGAAACCCGGAAAAUGGAACUACUCGCU